UGGGGAAUAUUGCACAAUGGGCGCAAGCCUGAUGCAGCCAUGCCGCGUGUGUGAAGAAGGCCUUCGGGUUGUAAAGCACUUUCAGCGAGGAGGAAGGUGGUGAACUUAAUACGUUCAUCAAUUGACGUUACUCGCAGAAGAAGCACCGGCUAACUCCGUGCCAGCAGCCGCGGUAAUACGGAGGGUGCAAGCGUUAAUCGGAAUUACUGGGCGUAAAGCGCACGCAGGCGGUUUGUUAAGUCAGAUGUGAAAUCCCCGGGCUCAACCUGGGAACUGCAUUUGAAACUGGCAAGCUAGAGUCUCGUAGAGGGGGGUAGAAUUCCAGGUGUAGCGGUGAAAUGCGUAGAGAUCUGGAGGAAUACCGGUGGCGAAGGCGGCCCCCUGGACGAAGACUGACGCUCAGGUGCGAAAGCGUGGGGAGCAAACAGGGUUAGAUACCCUGGUAGUCCACGCUGUAAACGAUGUCGAUUUUGGAGGUUGUGCCCUUGAGGCGUGGCUUCCGGAGCUAACGCGUUAAAUCGACCGCCUGGGGAGUACGGCCGCAAGGUUAAAACUCAAAUGAAUUGACGGGGUCAUAGCUG
rnacentral:rRNA from 1 species